AUUGAACGCUGGCGGCAGGCCUCACCCCUGCACGUCGAGCGGAUGAAGGGAGCUUGCUCCUGGAUUCAGCGGCGGACGGGUGAGUAAUGCCUAGGAAUCUGCCUGGUAGUGGGGGAUAACGUCCGGAAACGGGCGCUAAUACCGCAUACGUCCUGAGGGAGAAAGUGGGGGAGCUUCGGACCUCACGCUAUCAGAUGAGCCUAGGUCGGAUUAGCUAGUUGGUGGGGUAAAGGCCUACCAAGGCGACGAUCCGUAACUGGUCUGAGAGGAUGAUCAGUCACACUGGAACUGAGACACGGUCCAGACUCCUACGGGAGGCAGCAGUGGGGAAUAUUGGACAAUGGGCGAAAGCCUGAUCCAGCCAUGCCGCGUGUGUGAAGAAGGUCUUCGGAUUGUAAAGCACUUUAAGUUGGGAGGAAGGGCAGUAAGUUAAUACCUUGCUGUUUUGACGUUACCAACAGAAUAAGCACCGGCUAACUUCGUG
rnacentral:rRNA from 1 species